rnacentral:tRNA from 1 species
CCACCUUUGGUUUGAAGACCGGCGGCCGCAUCGAGUCCAUCUUGAUGUCCCUCCCUCUCAC